rnacentral:lncRNA from 1 species
GGGGAUCUGAGAAAAAUGAUGUUAUCGAACAAGUUCACCUGAAAUUUCUAAAACAUAUAUUGCACUUGAAAAAAAUCAACACCAAGCAUAAUUGUGUAUGGUGAAACAGGCAGAUACCCACUUGACAUCAGCAUAAAAUGCCGAACUAUUUCGUUCUGGUGCAAACUAUGUUCAGACGAAAACAAACUGUCUUCAUUAAUUU